AUUGAACGCUGGCGGCAUGCUUUACACAUGCAAGUCGAACGGUAACAGCACUUCGGUGGCUGACGAGUGGCGCACGGGUGAGUAAAACAUCGGAACGUGCCUAGUAGUGGGGGAUCACUACUCGAAAGAGUAGCUAAUACCGCAUGAGAUCUAAGGAUGAAAGCAGGGGACCUUCGGGCCUUGCGCUACUAGAGCGGCUGAUGGCAGAUUAGGUAGUUGGUGGGAUAAAAGCUUACCAAGCCGACGAUCUGUAGCCGGUCUGAGAGGACGACCAGCCACACUGGGACUGGGACACGGCCCAGACUCCUACGGGAGGCAGCAGUGGGGAAUUUUGGACAAUGGGCGCAAGCCUGAUCCAGCAAUGCCGCGUGCAGGAUGAAGGCCUUCGGGUUGUAAACUGCUUUUGUACGGAACGAAAAGCCCUCUUCUAAUACAGGAGGGUCAUGACGGUACCGUAAGAAUAAGCACCGGCUAACUACGUG
rnacentral:rRNA from 1 species